rnacentral:rRNA from 1 species
CCUACGGGAGGUAGCAGUGGGGAAUAUUGGACAAUGGGCGAAAGCCUGAUCCAGCCAUGCCGCGUGUGUGAAGAAGGCCUUCGGGUUGUAAAGCACUUUCAGUGGGGAAGAAAGCCUUGGGGCUAAUACCCUCGAGGAAGGACAUCACCCACAGAAGAAGCACCGGCUAACUCCGUGCCAGCAGCCGCGGUAAUACGGAGGGUGCGAGCGUUAAUCGGAAUUACUGGGCGUAAAGCGCGCGUAGGCGGUCUGAUAAGCCGGUUGUGAAAGCCCCGGGCUCAACCUGGGAACGGCAUCCGGAACUGUCAGGCUAGAGUGCGGGAGAGGAAGGUGGAAUUCCCGGUGUAGCGGUGAAAUGCGUAGAGAUGGGGAGGAAUACCAGUGGCGAAGGCGGUCUUCUGGACUGGCACUGACGCUGAGGUGCGAAAGCGUGGGUAGCAAACAGGAUUAGAUACCCGUGUAGUC